rnacentral:rRNA from 1 species
CCUACGGGUGGCAGCAGUAGGGAAUAUUGGACAAUGAGGGAAACCCUGAUCCAGCGACACCGCGUGCGUGAAGAAGUAUUUCGGUAUGUAAAGCUCUAUCAGCAGGGAAGAACGAAAUGACGGUGCCUUACUCAGAAGCCGCCGCUACCUACGUGCCAGCAGCCACGGUAAUACGUAGGGGGCAAGCGUUAUACGGAUUUACUGGGUGUAAAGGGAGCGUAGACGGCGAUGCAAGUCUGAAGUGAAAGGCGGGGGCCCAACCCCCGGACUGCUUUGGAAACUGGAUGGCUGGAGUGCAGGAGAGGUAAGUGGAAUUCCUAGUGUAGCGGUGAAAUGCGUAGAUAUUAGGAGGAACACCAGUGGCGAAGGCGGCUUACUGGACUGUAACUGACGCUGAGGCUCGAAAGCGUGGGGAGCAAACAGGAUUAGAUACCCCUGUAGUC